AACGAACGCUGGCGGCGUGCCUAACACAUGCAAGUCGAGCGCGAGUGGGAGCAAUCCCUAGUAGAGCGGCGCACGGGUGCGUAACACGUGGAUAAUCUGCCUGGAUGCCCGGGACAACCUGCCGAAAGGCUGGCUAAUACCGGAUAAGCCCACGGGUUCUUCGGAACCUGCGGGAAAAGGUGGCCUCUGUAUACAAGCUAUCACAUCCAGAUGAGUCCGCGGCCCAUCAGCUAGUUGGCGGGGUAAUGGCCCACCAAGGCAACGACGGGUAGCUGGUCGGAGAGGACGAGCAGCCACACUGGAACGGAGACACGGUCCAGACUCCUACGGGAGGCAGCAAUGGGGAAUUUUGCGCAAUGGGCGAAAGCCUGACGCAGCAACGCCGCGUGUGUGAUGAAGGUCUUUGGAUUGUAAAGCACUUUCGACCGGGAAGAACACCCGAAGGAGCCAUACCCUUCGGUCUGACGGUACCGGGAGAAGAGGCACCGGCUAACUCUGUGCCAGCCGCCGCCGUAAAAC
rnacentral:rRNA from 1 species